rnacentral:lncRNA from 1 species
UUAGAGGGGCUCAUGUUGUACUUUAUUGAUGUGUUAAGGAGACAAGGACUUUCCACUUAAAAUAUUUAACAUUACACCCGUACACACAUAACAUGCGUCCCCUCACCCUUGGGGAAGGGCGAGGCGACUCCAAGUACAGAGGAAGGGGGAGGAAGAAAGGGUGGGGGCACAGGGCCCUUGACCCCGGCAGGGGCAAUGGGCUAGGCAAACAGAGUGAGACAGAAGGUGGGUUAUUAAGAAGCAUCUUGCUUACUGACAUGAAGCCUCGGGCCCAAGAGAGCACGGCCGAGGCCUCAUUGGCUUAGAGGAGGGGCCCUUGGAGGGCAGGCACACGGUGCCCAACUAGCCAGCCGAGGCCGGCAUCCCAGGGACGGGGCGGAGGUGGGGGGCCUGCACAGGGCCCCCAGCCCAGGCCUCUGUUCCCCCUGCCUCCCUCCCCGCCCUCCGAGAGAAAGGAGGGUUUGGGCUUCAGCCAUGGACUGACGGCCGGUACCGGCAGCGUCUCCUUAAACUACAGAGAUACAAUGUGUAUCAACAGGGCGAUCGCUCCUGGCCUGCGCAGGCAGCGGUGAGGCGCCACGCGGGCCAGGACCAAUCCUACAGUAUCUUUGGUUUGUGGGUUCCCUUCCCUACUUUAAUUCUCCCUCUGUCAAGCCUCCAGGGUGGGCCCCGGGCCUGCAAAUGGGCUGCUUGGUGGCCCAAAGCCCAGCCUGACGACCCUCAGAGGCUGGAAUACUGCCCAUGAGGGCCGCCAGGGCCGCUUACUCACUGAGGUGCUGGGACUUGUAGGAGAGGAUCUCGGCCGCCAGCUGCUGGGGGUCCAGGAGCUGCGGGAAGCGCCCCAUCACGGCCUCUACCAGGUGUGGGGGGAAGACGCCACACAGCUUGGUGUACACACUGGCUCGCUCCUUGCCCAGGCUGCCUGCCCCACCCCACGGGCUCCUGUCACUCCCUGGUCCCGGCAGCUGGGGCUCCCGCAGGACUCGGGUGGGUGGGGGCAGCUGGUACGGCUCAGACCAGUACUCUCGAGGUGGGAAGGCAGUGCUUGUCCCUGCCAGGUGGGGCCACCCUGCUCUCCGCCAGCUGCUUAUAAUAAAAGUUAACAUUUACUAUGAGCUGCGAGCCAGGCCCUGGACUAAGAGCAUAAGUGAAUCAUCAGCAAGCCCCUGAGGAGGGUCAUAUCACUAAAGGCCCCUUUCCCCUUUAUUCAGAGGGGAGACUGUGCUCCACAGUGGGCAGUUAGUAGCCAGGGUCAAACAGCAGCAAUAGUGGAACAGAGAUGCAAUGCCAGACCUGUGCUCAUAACCACCACAGGUGUGGAUGUCAGACAGGUACAAAGACAGGUGCCAACCCUGACGGCAAGGACAGAGCUCCUACUGGAGACCAGGCGCACUGCACACCUCCUGGCUUCAUCCUUACCAGGCUAGCCACAGUGAGGAAACCAAGGCUCCGAGACUCAUCUAAGCUCCCCUGGCUAGUGGUAAGAGACAGAACUGGAACCCACGUCUGGGGGCACUGGAUUGCCUUGCUGUCCCUAACAGCAAGACCUGAAGUUUAUCUAGGCGAAAAAAAAGCUCCCCAACUUGAGCGUGAACAGUGUUAAGAGGGAGGAACAGGCUGGGAACAGGAAAAAUGAGGCAUCUGGCAAACUCCUGCUCCUCUUUCAGGACACCCAUGUGAGGUGUCACCGCCUCUGAGAAGCCUUCCCUGACCUUCCAGGAAGGAUCAGGGCCCUGGUCUGUCUUUACAAGGUGUACUGCUUCCCUCAUCACCUCACUCCCUUCCCUGGGCCUCCUGCUCUGCCUGCUUGAGACCGUGGGGAGGUGUGAGCAUCUCUACUUGGCUCCCUAUCUUAGAGAUGCAGACUGCACACGCAUCCACCUACUUCCUUCUAUACACACAUGUGUGCAUGCGUACGCCCCACCCUAGGCCAGCAUCUGCAAGUCCUGGGACUUCACUGGACACCAAAGCUUCCAGGAUGCCCUCUGGGCAUCAAAAACCUUGGCUGGGGACAAGUCUGCUCUCAGCUGCCCUAGCCCCCAGAAUAUUCCCCAGGCAGGUGGUCAGAGCCUUACUCUUGGCAGAAGGAGAACACACACAUAUCCAGUCCCUCAAGUGGAUCCCCGACACCCCCCUCCCAGGCCUGGAGUCUCUGCACAGCUAACUUUGGUCCCUCUCUCUGCAGCAGAGGAAGCCCUGCCAGCACAGGAAAACCAGACACCCUCCCGCCCCCACUGCAGUCCGGUCUGUCCCCUAGCCUGGCUAAUCAGACAGUGGGAAGAUGUGUGAGUCUAGGAGACUCCAGCUCAGCUGCUUCCACCCUAGGACAGAGGGCAGGGCAGGACCAGCUGUCCAGGUGAAAAGAUCUGCCUGGGCUGGGCCCAGCUAGUGGAGAAAAAUUCCCUUAGAAGGAAACAGAGGUGAAUUUCCCCACAAUUUGCAUACGGUGGGGGCUGGCCCGCCUGCCCUCAGGGAGGGGGGAGGGGGCGGCAGGGCAGGAACCCAGUAGCAGCUGAGACAGGAAGUUCGAGGCUGGAAUUCCCCUCCGGCUCCUGCCCCAGCUCAGAAAGCCCCGGCGGCUUGGCUUCUCCGGCCACCACCUGCCCCUCCUCCCUCCCAGGCCCCUCCUCCUUCUGCCAGGAUACAAACACACACAGCACAUGGUUCCCCCCGGGGCUCAGCACGCCAGCCCCCACCCCCACCCCAGGAAGGAGUCCCAGACCCGUCCUGACUCCUUGCCCAGCCGCGCAGGGCCGGAGGCUGAAAGGGGACCCCCUAACAUUCAAAGCACAUGAUGCGAUCAGCUGCCGCUGGCAUGCGGGCCUCAGCUUUCCUCAACCUCCCACCCAGGCUCAGCCCGUUUCAGAGAUGAGAAGACUGACCCGAAGGUGGCCAGAGGAAGGCCACCUGCACUCCUGCUGAGCUGGGCUGGGACUAGCUAGCCAG